rnacentral:tRNA from 1 species
AGCAGCGUGGCUCAGUGGAAAGAGCAUGGGCUUGGGAGUCAUAGGUCAUGAGUUCAAAUCCCGGCUCUGCCA